rnacentral:rRNA from 1 species
AUUACGAGCUUUAGCUUAAAACCCAAAGGACUUGACGGUGUCCCACCCCACUAGAGGAACCUGUUCUAUAAUCGAUAAUCCACGUUAUACCUAACCAUUUUUUGCCUUUCAGCUUGUAUACCUCCGUCGCAAGCCUACCAUAUGAAUGCACAGCAGUAGGCCUAAUAGCUUUAACACUAAAACGUCAGGUCAAGGUGCAGCUUAUAAAAUGGAAAGUAAUGGGUUACAAUUUCUAACUUAGAACAAACGAAUUACUACAUGAAACAUAGUCAUGAAGGCGGAUUUAGCAGUAAAUAGGGAACAGAGAGCCCUAUUAAAUCUGGCCCUGGGACGUGUACAAACCGCCCGUCACCCUCUUCAAUAGCCUCCACUUAGUUCAUAACCCAACCAAGCAUCUUAGAAGAGGUAAGUCGUAACAUGGUAAGUGUACUGGAAAGUGCACUUGGAAUAA